GGGAUAGACAACUUUUCUUGAGUCAUGUUUUCUUCUCCAUGUUAUUGACAGACCCAUUGGGUAAAGAAGGAUGAGUCGCAAGCUGUACAAUUAAGAAGUUACCUCUUUGAGAUAUUUAGUUGGCGGUAAGCUUCUUCUCUGAGGGCAUGACAUUUAAACAGAGGCCACACCAAGAAAAGGAGUCAAUCAUUUAAAGAUCCGCGAGAGGAUUUUCUAAAUGAAAGGAUCUGCAAGACCAAAGCCCUAUGGUAGAGUGGUAUCUGUGUGUUGCAAAUAAAGUGAAAAGACAUUAGUGUAUGGCCAGAACAGAUGCAGUGGAGAUAGUGCUUGACUGAUGGAAAGAAAGCCAUGCUCCAUCGAGAUUGGGCGAGACAAAGAUACAGAAACGUAAAUGUUCAAAGCUGUGAAUAAUUGCUCCGGUGACUGGAGGAUCAACAACUGAAGG